GGAAUUGUUCACAAUGGGCGCAAGCCUGAUGACGCAACGCCGCGUGGAGGAUGAAGGUCUUCGGAUUGUAAACUCCUGUUGCCCGGGACGAAUAGCUCUGACCUAACACGUCGGAGUCUGACGGUACCGGGUGAGGAAGCCCCGGCUAACUCUGUGCCAGCAGCCGCGGUAAUACAGAGGGGGCAAGCGUUGUUCGGAAUUACUGGGCGUAAAGGGCGCGUAGGCGGCCUUCUAAGUCGAACGUGAAAUCCCUGGGCUCAACCCAGGAACUGCGUCCGAUACUGGAAGGCUCGAAUCCGGGAGAGGGAUGCGGAAUUCCAGGUGUAGCGGUGAAAUGCGUAGAUAUCUGGAGGAACACCGGUGGCGAAGGCGGCAUCCUGGACCGGUAUUGACGCUGAGGCGCGAAAGCCAGGGGAGCAAACGGG
rnacentral:rRNA from 1 species